rnacentral:rRNA from 1 species
CCUACGGGUGGCAGCAGUGGGGAAUAUUGCACAAUGGGGGAAACACUGAUGCAGCGACGCCGCGUGAGCGAUGAAGUAUUUCGGUAUGUAAAGCUCUAUCAGCAGGGAAGAAAAUGACGGUACCUGACUAAGAAGCCCCGGCUAACUACGUGCCAGGAGCCGCGGUAAUACGUAGGGGGCAAGCGUUAUCCGGAUUUACGGGGCGUAAAGGGAGCGUAGACGGCGGUGAAAGCCAGAUGGGAAAGCCCGGGGGGUACACCCGGGUCGGCAUUUGGAACUGGGCUGCUAGAGUGUCGGAGAGGCAGGCGGAAUGCGUGGUGUAGCGGUGAAAUGCGUAGAUAUUAGGAGGAACACCAGUGGCGAAGGCAGCCUGCUGGACGAUGACUGACGUUGAGGCACGAAAGCGUGGGGAGCAAACAGGAUUAGAUACCCUUGUAGUC